ACUAUUGCAAACUUAGUCUGGACACUAUAAAAGAAAGUCUGCAUGUAAGAAUAUGCUCACCGUAAAUUUGUAGUGUUCAGAUUGAGUUUAUAGUGGUUG
rfam:Dichanthelium oligosanthes cultivar Kellogg 1175 unplaced genomic scaffold Do_version_2_scaffold802, whole genome shotgun sequence.